rnacentral:rRNA from 1 species
GGCUCCUACUUGCUUAAGCCCGGGGGUGAAAACUAAAACGCUUGGGGGGGGGGCGACUUUUCCCAUUAUAAUAGAAAGGGCCCCUGACUGUCCCCUAACAAUCAGCCCCGGCUAUCCACGUGCCACAAGCCUCAUCCAUACGUAUGGGGCGAACGUUAAUCGUAAUUACUGGGCCUAAAGCGUGCUCAAGCGGCCCGGUAAAACCGAUGUGAAAUCCCCGAGCUCGACCUGGUAAAGGCCUUCGUGACUGAACAGCUUGACUACGGUAGAGGGGAAUUGAAUUCCUCUUGUAACAAACACCUGCGUAGAUAUCUGGAGGAACACCGAUGGCUAACGCUGACCCCCGAAACCGUACUGACGCACAUGCACUAAAUCCUCGGGAACACCCAGGAUUAAAUACCCUGGUAUACCACUCCCUAAACUAUAUCCACUCGUUGCCGAGGCUAUAGCUACUCAUUACCCAACUUGACACUUCAAGCGCACCGCCUGAAGACAACGGACUUAAAGGUUAAAACUCAAA